UUUCGGACAAUGGGCGCAAGCCUGAUCCAGCCAUGCCGCUUGUGUGAAGAAGGCCUUCGGGUUGUAAAGCUCUUUCGGACGGAAAGAGAUCGCGCAGGCUAAUACCCUGCGCGGAUUACGGUACCGUUAUAAGAAGGAUCGGCUAACCUCGUGCCGACAGCCGCCGUUAUACGUAGGGUGCGAGCGUUAAUCGGAAUUACUUGGCGUAAAGCGUGCGCAGGCGGUUGAUUAAGACAGGCGUGGAAUCCCCGGGCUUAACCUGGGAACUGCGCUUGUGACAGGUCAGCUAGAGUACGGCAGAGGGGGGUGGAAUUCAACGUGUAGCAGUGAAAUGCGUAGAGAUGUGGAGGAACACCGAUGGCGAAGGCAGCCCCCUGGGCCGAUACUGACGCUCAUGCACGAAAGCGUGGGUAGCAAACAGG
rnacentral:rRNA from 1 species